GAGUUUGAUCCUGGCUCAGAUUGAACGCUGGCGGCAUGCCUUACACAUGCAAGUCGAACGGCAGCACGGGAGCAAUCCUGGUGGCGAGUGGCGAACGGGUGAGUAAUAUAUCGGAACGUGCCCAGUCGUGGGGGAUAACGUAGAGAAAUUUACGCUAAUACCGCAUACGAUCUAAGGAUGAAAGCGGGGGACCGUAAGGCCUCGCGCGAUUGGAGCGGCUGAUAUCAGAUUAGGUUGUUGGUGAGGUAAAAGCUCACCAAGCCGACGAUCUGUAGCUGGUUUGAGAGAACGACCAGCCACACUGGGACUGAGACACGGCCCAGACUCCUACGGGAGGCAGCAGUGGGGAAUUUUGGACAAUGGGCGAAAGCCUGAUCCAGCAAUGCCGCGUGCAGGAAGAAGGCCUUCGGGUUGUAAACUGCUUUUGUACGGAACGAAAAGGUCUGCCCUAAUACGGCGGGCCCAUGACGGUACCGUAAGAAUAAGCACCGGCUAA
rnacentral:rRNA from 1 species